rnacentral:misc_RNA from 1 species
UGAUCGUAAUCAUGUAGGAGCUGCCGCAGGCUGCGAUCUGUUGAUCUUUAAAAUCAAAAGAUCGCAGCCUUCGGCAGCUCCUGCAUUGAAA